rnacentral:lncRNA from 1 species
AAGGGAGUUUCCACUACUAGUGUUUUUCCUAAAGCUUCUUAUAUAAAUUCUAGGUUACAAGAAAAUGAACAAGAAAUAAAAUAGUGAGUUACACCAGUAUUGAUCAAAGUCUUGGAAGGAGUAUUAUGAAUAGAAAGCAUACCUUAUAUGAGAACAGGAGCAAGAAGGACUUCAGAUUUAUUUAAGUUGACACUCGACCUUGUGCAAUGGGUCAGGCUACAUCCUUCGGUCGCUGAAGAAAAGUCUUUUAUAAGGUGUUGGGUGCUUCUACACCGAUGGUAGGGAAGAAGUUAUCAAAGAAAGCAACCAUGAAAACUUCCCAAGUAAUAGGGGUAGGCAGGACUUCUUUCUUAAGUCGCCACAGUGCUCGGUCUCACCGUUUAACAUGAAGGCU